rnacentral:rRNA from 1 species
AUGAUUCAGACUACAUGCAAUAAUAGGCAACAUCGCUGGAUCCCGCCUGCUACGGGACAAAUAAAAAUUAAUGUUGAUGCGGGAUUAUCAGUGAAGCACAACGUAGGCACAGCAACAACAAUUUGUCGAGAUCGAGAUGGUUCCUAUAUUGGGUCUUCAGUGCUAGUGAUUCAUGGCAUCACUGAUCCUACUACUCUAGAAGCUUUAGCCUGCCGAGAGGCUUUAUCGUUGGUGCAAGACUUGGGCAUGCAACAUCUUCAAAUCGCAUCGGAUUGCAAACAGGUCGUCAAUCAUAUUCAUGAAGGAGUUGGAGGAAACUAUGGGAGUGUUAUCAAAGAGAUUUUGCAAAGUGUUAGAAUGUUUAAUUAUUGUAAUGUUUUGUUUGAACCUCAAGCUUCUAAUUUUGAAGCUCAUAUGCUACCUAGGUCAGGUGUCUCUCUUCCCCAAGGGCGGCAUCUUUGGUUGGGCACGUCAAGUGAUCCAAUAACUUUUCCUGUAAACAUCUUUACCAAUUAA